UUGGACGUUGGGCAGGAUUUAUAGGAGCUGGACCGAGGUUGGGUGUUGCUGUGGCAACGUGGGAUUGGGCGUUGCCGGGGGGACAGGCCGAGGUUGGACAUUGACGUGGACUGGUGGGGCUGGGCCGAGGUUGGGUGUUGCUGUGGCAACGUGGGAUUGGGCGUUGCCGGGGGGACAGGCCGAGGUUGGACAUUGACGUGGACUGGUGGGGCUGGGCC